GUGCUCACUUCGGCAGCAUAUAUACUAAAAUUGGAACGAUACAGAGAAGAUUAGCAUGGCCCCUGUGCAAGGAUGACAUGCAAAUUCGUGAAGUGUUCCAUUAAAAA
ensembl:snRNA U6 U6 spliceosomal RNA